UACGUAGGGUGCGAGCGUUAAUCGGAAUUACUGGGCGUAAAGCGUGCGCAGGCGGUUCGUUGUGUCGGUGGUGAAUCCCCGGGCUUAACCUGGGAAUGGCCAUGGAAACUGGCGAACUGGAGUGCGGCAGAGGGGGGUGGAAUCCGCGUGUAGCAGUGAAAUGCGUAGAGAUGCCGGAGGAACACCGAUGGCGGAAGGCAGCCCCCUGGGAUAACACUGACGCUCGAUGCACGAAAGCGUGGGGAG
rnacentral:rRNA from 1 species